rnacentral:rRNA from 1 species
UACGUAGGGUGCAAGCGUUGUCCGGAAUUAUUGGGCGUAAAGAGCUCGUAGGCGGUCUGUCGCGUCUGCUGUGAAAACCUAGGGCUUAACUUUGGGCGUGCAGUGGGUACGGGCAGGCUAGAGUGCGGUAGGGGGAGACUGGAAUUCCUGGUGUAGCGGUGAAAUGCGCAGAUAUCAGGAGGAACACCGGUGGCGAAGGCGGGUCUCUGGGCCGUAACUGACGCUGAGGAGCGAAAGCAUGGGGGAGCGAACAGG